UUUGUAAAAUUAAUAAUAACUUUGAAUAAUUUAAAAUUUUGUAUUCUUGUUAAUUUAUAGAUUCUAAUUUAGUGCAAUGAUGUGUUUUGAAACACUGCCUGUACACAUUGAUUAAAAAGCAUUUGUUUGAAGAAUGAAAUAUUGAUUUAAUUAAGAUACUAAUUAAAAGAAUUUUCGUGAAAAGGAAUAUGGAUUUUUUGUUCAUAAUCUUCAUGUAAUAAACUAAAGAUACUAAUUAAAUGUAUUUGAAGUGACAAGUUGUGCAAUAUUCCAUGUAUGCAUGAUCUCAUUUGCUAAAUUCAUUUGCAUUUAAUACUUUUAUGGCAUAGAAAUUGAAUUGUGUUGGAAAAUUUCAUUGGCAAAGUUUGUGAAUAAUUUUAACUAUAAAAGAUAGUCUUGCUGUUGGAAUAGCAUUUAUAAUGGUGCGAAAUUCAACAAAUAAACCAGUGACAAUAAAUGUAGUUACAGAUAUAGGCUUUCCUUGAUGAUUUUACCAUUUGAAAUCGGUCAUUGUUAUGAAUUGAUUAUGCAAUUAAAACAGAAGAAUUUUGUUUCAAAAGUCAUCAUGUUCUUUUCCGUCCUUGAUCUUUCUUUUUCUCUAGUUCAGUCCGUUUAAAAUUUGUUUGUGUUAAAAGUUAUUGUUUACUGUGUUUUGUUUUUUUUAUCAAUAAAAUAUUACUAUUUU
rnacentral:misc_RNA from 1 species